UGUCGUUGAAGACGGUCCCGUUGAUCUGGCUCGGCUUCAGAGCCACCCAGUUCAACACCGGCAUCCGGAACUUGGUCUGGAUCGGCUUCUUUAUCUUCACCGCUGCACGCAGAGAGACAGGUGCUCGUCCAGGUUGAGUUUGGUGAAGUCGUACUGCAGGUGGACUCUGAAGUUCAUAUCCUCCACCGAGUGAACCACGAUGUUGAUGAACUGCAUGCAGGCCACCUGAGAGACCGUUUUGAAGUUGUCGAAGGCCGACAGGAUGAUCUCAUGUCCUCCUCUGACCAAACAAACUGCCGCCAGCAACUCCAACACCAGAGCCUUUGUCCUGACGACGAGAGACAGGUGAGAGACAGGUGAGAGACAGGCGAGAGACAGGCGAGAGACAGGCGAGA